ANUGGGCGCAGCCUGAUGCAGCGACGCCGCGUGGGGGAUGACGGCCUUCGGGUUGUAAACCUCUUUCACCAUCGACGAAGGCCCGCUUUUGGGUGGGUUGACGGUAGGUGGAGAAGAAGCACCGGCCAACUACGUGCCAGCAGCCGCGGUAAUACGUAGGGUGCGAGCGUUGUCCGGAAUUACUGGGCGUAAAGAGCUCGUAGGUGGUUUGUCGCGUUGUUCGUGAAAUUCCCUGGCUUAACUGGGGGCGUGCGGGCGAUACGGGCAGACUGGAGUACUGCAGGGGAGACUGGAAUUCCUGGUGUAGCGGUGGAAUGCGCAGAUAUCAGGAGGAACACCGGUGGCGAAGGCGGGUCUCUGGGCAGUAACUGACGCUGAGGAGCGAAAGCGUGGGGAGCGAACAGGAUUAGAUACCCUGGUAGUCCACGCCGUAAACGGUGGGUACUAGGUGUGGGUUUCCUUCCUUGGGAUCCGUGCCGUAGCUAACGCAUUAAGUACCCCGCCUGGGGAGUACGGCCGCAAGGCUAAAACUCAAAGGAAUUGACGGA
rnacentral:rRNA from 1 species